UCCCAGGGCCCCUCUUUGGCUCCGCCUCCCCUAGCGCCCGCCCCUCUCCAGCUCCUAGGCUGCUCGCUCUGGCCUGCGCUGUCACCGCUGUCACUGGGAGGAGGGCCUGUCUCCGCCGCAGCGGGGAGGGAGACAGCAGGCCCUCCCGCCGAGCCGGCUGGGUGGGUCCUGGAGCCGGGAGAGGAGUAGACCAUGUGGCUGAGAUUUGGAAGUCCUUCCUUAGGCAACAACAGCUCCCUGCACAGAAGGACAAGCUUGUAAGGACACAGUCUUCAGGCCAAGGAAGGGGAUGGUGAGAAGUCUGUGGUCCUCGGGUGUGGCAGCCUGAGCUGGUGGGCGGCACACUCCCCACAGAGGCCACGUUUGCAAAGCUCAGCUCACAUGCGCCCCAAGGUCCAGGUUCCUGAGUGACACUGUCCAGAAAUGUGGAUUCCAGCCCAGAGCAGCCGAGCUCACCACUCCCUCUUCAGCCCGGGCUCCGCUCUGAAAAUAGAACCUGGCCCACAGCACCAGCACACUUUGAACCCAGACUGAUGAACCCCUGUGGCAUUGAGGCUGCAGCUACAUCCCGUGGACAGCCCUGCUCAAGCCCAGCCCCAGGCCUGACCACUGUGCAUCUCCACGCUGCGGCUUUUCUGUCACUGAACCCCUUCGUCCCCAUCAGGGAAGCAGCUCAUCCAGGCCAUGUCCCCCAGGCUGCACCAGCACUCGGGAGCCACGGCAUGGGGCCAACAGACAUAGUGGGGUCGUGCUUGGGGACACAGCUGGGCCACACCCAGAUAGCAGGCACGGCAGUCACUGGCAAGGGAGGAAGCGUGCUCAGGAGGGCGAGGUUGCACAUCAAAAAUGAGGCCAUGCAGAAGCUGCACCUACCACAGCCAACACCAGCUGCCCCUAACUUCAGACUUGGCAAGAAGACCGUCUCGGGUGUCUGGUGCCCCAGUGCACAGUUCCACAUGCCACCCUUCAACGCCUGGGGAAACGGUUCCACUCUCAGGGAGGCAAACGCUUUGCAAAAUGUGAAAACCAGCCGCAGCAUGAACGGAAAAGCCCAUAGGAGUCUAAAGUAAGGGACGAAGCCAUGGUUUCUUAUUUCAAGACCGCUGAGCUUCUUGAGCUGGUCCACCUCACAUUGGCAUUUCCUACUGAGAGAGUGCCCUGAAGAACCAAAUCCUUAAUUUUAACCAAAAUCCGACUUGAGAAGCGCGUCCUUUCCUUUAUAAAUCAGACGCCUGUGUUUGUGGAGAACUACUUGGCAAUUUCAUUGGAAAUGAAACCUAAGGGAGCCUUGUGUCUAAUUUUCUGAGUUCAUCUAAUUGUAAGUAAAAACAACAACAAGCCUAUUUUAAAGUAACUUGCACUGGUGUCUGAAGGUUUUCUGUCCUUUGAAUUUGAGGUCUGCGAGUUAAGAGUCAGUGACCCUGGAUCUCCCAAAGCAGAAGUUGAACUUGUGCAAAGAUAGGCAUCUGCACAGUGGUGGCAACAAUGGGGACCUUCGUGUUCUGUGUUCGCAGCCAGCAAAGAGGGCAGGAGAAGGCAGGAACAGGGAGCAGGGAGAGUGACUAGACCAGGGCUGGAUGUGCCGGGAAACAGGAGGCAAAAACAACUGCCCCCCGCUGAGGGCACAGGAGCUGCGAGGACCCUCGCCAACCCCACGGCUGCACAGAGUACAGGUGGGCAACACGGCCUCACCGGGGAAGGAAACUGCAGGGGACAGGGUACGGCAAACGCACUCAAGCUCACGGGAAGUGAUGCCGACAACAUUACAGGCCACUGCCAGGGACCUGCUUUUGAUUCUGAAGGCUGGGAAUGUGUUCACUGCUUUCCUGCUUCUCAGACACAACCCCCAACACCACAGCUUAGAGGUUCAUUUGGCUCACAGUUUCUUGGGGGUGCAGUCCAUGGCUGGCUCCAAGGCAGAAAGAGCACAGAGGGAAGGCCUGGUGGAGGAAGCUGCCAUCCCCAUGGCAGCCAGGAAAAAGAGAGAAGCGGGAGCCCGGGGAAAGAAUGCAGCCUCCCAAGUCCCACCCCAGGGACCACUUCCAACCAGGCCCCUCUCUUAACUGUGAGUUCAGUUACUGAGCUCAUCGGGGC
rnacentral:lncRNA from 1 species